CCUACGGGAGGCAGCAGUGAGGAAUAUUGGUCAAUGGACGAGAGUCUGAACCAGCCAAGUAGCGUGAAGGAUGACUGCCCUAUGGGUUGUAAACUUCUUUUAUAGGGGAAUAAAAUGUGCCACGUGUGGGGUUUUGUAUGUACCAUAUGAAUAAGGACCGGCUAACUCCGUGCCAGCAGCCGCGGUAAUACGGAGGAUCCGAGCGUUAUCCGGAUUUAUUGGGUUUAAAGGGAGCGUAGGUGGCUUGUUAAGCCAGUUGUGAAAGGCUGCGGCUCAACCGUGAAAUUGCAGUGGAAACUGGCUGUCUUGAGUGCAGUAGAGGUAGGCGGAAUUCGUGGUGUAGCGGUGAAAUGCUUAGAUAUCACGAAGAACUCCGAUUGCGAAGGCAGUUCACUGGACUGCAACUGACGCUGAGGCUCGAAAGUGUGGGUAUCAAACAGGAUUAGAUACCCUAGUAGUC
rnacentral:rRNA from 1 species